AUUGGGUUUUUAAGUGGUGGAUAAAGAUUUAGGGGAUAAUUAUUAGAUUAAUGUUUUAAGAAAUUCUUUGAUGCUUUUAUUUUUGGGCCACCACCCUCACCGGAGACUUUUUUGGCAAGCCCCAAAACCCCGUUUUGUUUUAACAUUUUUCCAGCAAAGAACCACACGAAAACAGUCAGUAGACCAAACUGUCAUCUUGUUCAUAGCUGCUGCCAGCAGCUCUCUCCAGACGCUGCCAGGUCUUCUUUUUCCCACUUUUCCGACCAAGCUCUAACUGAAACCAGUCAUCUUCUUCCCCAUUUUAGCAUACAAAACACAACUGAAAUAACCACCACAACCCACUCCUAAACCAUACCCAAACCUUAACCAACAACCACCCAAAAUCGAUCAACAACACAGUCCAAAAACCCGACCAUAAACCACCAAACCAACCUUCAUUCUUCCAUUUUUUUCCCUUUCCAGAUGCACCACAAACCCCAUCCUCUUUCCCCUUUACAUUUUCUAUCCAAUUUUGUUUGCAUUUGAAUGAACCAUCAGGAUAUUUGCUCCAAAAAAUGGCAGCAAUAUUUUAGGCUUAUCGACAUAAAAUAAAUAACUCCAGCGAAAUCGAGAUUGAGCAAGCUCUUCGUCAUCCUCUUUUACCAAGGUGCCAUAUCAGUCAUCUUCCCUGUAAGCUUUCCAAAAUUUGAAAACGGAAACUGCGGCAAAAUAUUUUGAGGAGGUCUCCAAAUUUUUACAAAGGAGAUAGUACAUGAUUAAAUAUCGGAGGUCGUUGAAGAUGAAACAGGGGCAAAAUUUUUAAGGAAGGCCCUCAAAAAAUUAACCAACUUGGUACAGAGAUUUCUAGAAUUUAUUAGGCUUCACUCCGAGUUGGUAUGUAUAUUUUGCAUUAAUUUUUGUACAUCAUGUCACAUUCACUGUAUAUCUUUGAUUUUUAUUAUAUUCCAUUGGAAAUGUUAUUUUAAUUGA